rnacentral:lncRNA from 1 species
GGAUUUUGUGAAAUUUAGAACCAAUAUAUGUAAACUAGUUAUCACAAAGCCUACCACAUAGCAGGAGAUAAAUAAUAAUAAUAAUAACUGAGGAAAGUUAAUCUCAUUUGGGCCAUCUGGAUAACCUGUGAAUAUUGGCAAUCUCUCUUUCCAUGCCAUAGGUUAUAGAUAAGGAAGCAGGACCGGAAGAGUCUACACAUGAAUAUUAAUCAAGAAAGGAGAUAUUUAUAAUUUUAUGCACCUAAACCUUUGCAUGAAGAUUUUUUAUUGUUAAACCAGGCAUGGUGGCCGUCUAUAAUCCCAGCACUUUGGGAGGCCAAGGCAGGAGGAUUGCGACAUGGUGAGACCUCUGUCUACAAAAAAAACCAAAAUUAGCCAGGUGUGGUGGUGUGCACCUGUAGUCUCAGCUACUCAGAAGGCUGAAGUGGGAGGAUUGUUUAAGCCCAGGAGGUCGAGGCUGCAGUGAGCCAGGACUGUACCACUGCACUCGAGUCUGGG